rnacentral:rRNA from 1 species
CCUACGGGUGGCAGCAGUGAGGAAUAUUGGUCAAUGGACGCAAGUCUGAACCAGCCAUGCCGCGUGCAGGAAGACGGCUCUAUGAGUUGUAAACUGCUUUUGUACGAGGGUAAACGCCGAUACGCGUAUCUGUCUGACAGUAUCGUACGAAUAAGGAUCGGCUAACUCCGUGCCAGCAGCCGCGGUAAUACGGAGGAUUCAAGCGUUAUCCGGAUUUAUUGGGUUUAAAGGGUGCGUAGGCGGCGCUUCAGGUCAGCGGUGAAAUACCGGGGCUCAACCCCGGGGCUGCCGUUGAAACCGGAGCGCUAGAAUGCAGAUGCCGUCGGAGGAAUGUGUGGUGUAGCGGUGAAAUGCAUAGAUAUCACACAGAACACCGAUUGCGAAGGCAUCUGACGAAGCGGAGAUUGACGCUGAUGCACGAAAGCGUGGGUAUCGAACAGGAUUAGAUACCCCUGUAGUC